rnacentral:rRNA from 1 species
CGCCCCGCGCCCGUUCCGCCGCCCCCGCCCGCCUACGGGAGGCAGCAGUGGGGAAUAUUGCACAAUGGGCGCAAGCCUGAUGCAGCCAUGCCGCGUGUGUGAAGAAGGCCCUAGGGUUGUAAAGCACUUUCAGCAGUGAGGAAAGGUGUGUACUUAAUACGUGCAUACUGUGACGUUAACUGCAGAAGAAGGACCGGCUAACUCCGUGCCAGCAGCCGCGGUAAUACGGAGGGUCCUAGCGUUAAUCGGAAUUACUGGGCGUAAAGCGCGCGUAGGUGGAUUGGUCAGUCAGAUGUGAAAGCCCAGGGCUCAACCUUGGAACUGCACCUGAUACUGCCAGUCUAGAAUACGGUAGAGGGUAGUGGAAUUUCCUGUGUAGCGGUGAAAUGCGUAGAUAUAGGAAGGAACACCAGUGGCGAAGGCGACUACCUGGACUCGAUAUUGACAGCUGAGGUGCGAAAAGCGUGGGGAGCAAACAGGAUUAGAUACCCUGGUAGUCCACGCCGUAAACGAUGUCUAGCUCAGCCGUUGGGAGAGCUUGAUCUUUUAGUGGCGCAGCUAACGCGAUAA